rnacentral:rRNA from 1 species
UUCGCAAUGCCCGAAAGGGUGACGAAGCGACGCCGCGUGGGUGAGGAAGGCCUUCGCGUUGUAAAGCCCUGUCAGGAGUUAAGAAAUGUAAGUGCGCUAAUAUCGCAUUUAUUUGACGAAGGCUCCAAAGGAAGUCACGGCUAACUCUGUGCCAGCAGCCGCGGUAAUGCAGAGGUGGCAAGCGUUGUUCGGAAUUAUUGGGCGUAAAGAGCACGUAGGUGGGUUCGUAAGUCAGAUGUGAAAGCCUUCUGUUCAACGGAAGAAUUGCAUCUGAAACUGCGAGUCUUGAGUGUAGGAGGGGAGAAUGGAACUUCUGGUGGAGCGGUGAAAUGCGUAGAUAUCAGAAGGAACGCCGGCGGCGAAAGCGAUUCUCUGGCCUAUUACUGACACUCAGUGUGCGAAAGCUAGGGGAGCAAACGGGAUUAGAUACCCCGGUAGUCCUAGCCGUAAACGAUGGGCACUAAGUAGAGGGGUUUU